AUCGAACGAUGAAGCCCAGCUUGCUGGGCGGAUUAGUGGCGAACGGGUGAGUAAUACGUGAGUAACCUGCCUUUAACUCUGGGAUAAGCCUUGGAAACGGGGUCUAAUACCGGAUACGACCAACCCUCGCAUGAGGUGUUGGUGGAAAGGGAUUUUGUACUGGUUUUAGAUGGGCUCACGGCCUAUCAGCUUGUUGGUGAGGUAACGGCUCACCAAGGCGACGACGGGUAGCCGGCCUGAGAGGGUGACCGGCCACACUGGGACUGAGACACGGCCCAGACUCCUACGGGAGGCAGCAGUGGGGAAUAUUGCACAAUGGGCGCAAGCCUGAUGCAGCGACGCCGCGUGAGGGAUGACGGCCUUCGGGUUGUAAACCUCUUUCAGCAGGGGAGAAGCGAAAGUGACGGUACCUGCAGAAGAAGCGCCGGCUAACUACGUGCCAGCAGCCGCGGUAAUACGUAGGGCGCGAGCGUUGUCCGGAAUUAUUGGGCGUAAAGAGCUUGUAGGCGGUUUGUCGCGUCUGCUGUGAAAGCCCGGGGCUUAACCCCGGGUUUGCAGUGGGUACGGGCAGACUAGAGUGCAGUAGGGGAGACUGGAAUUCCUGGUGUAGCGGUGAAAUGCGCAGAUAUCAGGAGGAACACCAAUGGCGAAGGCAGGUCUCUGGGCUGUAACUGACGCUGAGAAGCGAAAGCAUGGGGAGCAAACAGGAUUAGAUACCCUGGUAGUCCAUGCCGUAAACGUUGGGCACUAGGUGUGGGGAACAUUCCACGUUUUCCGCGCCGUAGCUAACGCAUUAAGUGCCCCGCCUGGGGAGUACGGCCGCAAGGCUAAAACUCAAGAAUUGACGGGGGCCCGCACAGCGGCGGA
rnacentral:rRNA from 1 species